UCGUAACAAGGUCUCCGUUGGUGAACCAGCGGAGGGAUCAUUACCGAGUUAUACAACUCAUCAACCCUGUGAACAUACCUAAAACGUUGCUUCGGCGGGAACAGACGGCCCCGUAACACGGGCCGCCCCCGCCAGAGGACCCCCUAACUCUGUUUCUAUUAUGUUUCUUCUGAGUAAAACAAGCAAAUAAAUUAAAACUUUCAACAACGGAUCUCUUGGCUCUGGCAUCGAUGAAGAACGCAGCGAAAUGCGAUAAGUAAUGUGAAUUGCAGAAUUCAGUGAAUCAUCGAAUCUUUGAACGCACAUUGCGCCCGCCAGUAUUCUGGCGGGCAUGCCUGUUCGAGCGUCAUUACAACCCUCAGGCCCCCGGGCCUGGCGUUGGGGAUCGGCGAGGCGCCCCCUGCGGGCACACGCCGUCCCCCAAAUACAGUGGCGGUCCCGCCGCAGCUUCCAUUGCGUAGUAGCUAACACCUCGCAACUGGAGAGCGGCGCGGCCACGCCGUAAAACACCCAACUUCUGAAUGUUGACCUCGAAUCAGGUAGGAAUACCCGCUGAACCUAAGCAUAUCA
rnacentral:misc_RNA from 1 species